rnacentral:rRNA from 1 species
AGCGAACGCUGGCGGCAGGCUUAACACAUGCAAGUCGAACGCCCCGCAAGGGGAGUGGCAGACGGGUGAGUAACACGUGGGAGCGUACCCUUUGGUUCGGAAUAACUUGGGGAAACUCAAGCUAAUACCGGAUAAGCCCUUAUGGGGAAAGGUUUACUGCCGAAGGAUCGGCCCGCGUCUGAUUAGCUAGUUGGUGAGGUAACGGCUCACCAAGGCGACGAUCAGUAGCUGGUCUGAGAGGAUGAUCACCCACACUGGGACUGAGACACGGCCCAGACUCCUACGGGAGGCAGCAGUGGGGAAUAUUGGACAAUGGGGGCAACCCUGAUCCAGCCAUGCCGCGUGAGUGAUGAAGGCCUUAGGGUUGUAAAGCUCUUUUACCCGGGACGAUAAUGACUGUACCGGGAGAAUAAGCCCCGGCAAACUUCGUGCCAGCAGCCGCCGUAA